rnacentral:rRNA from 1 species
GGAAUUACUGAGCGUAAAGCGUGCGCAGGCGGUUUGUAAGUCUGUCGUGAAAUCCCCGGGCUUAACCUGGGAAUUGCGAUGGAGACUGCAAGGCUAGAAUCUGGCAGAGGGGGGUAGAAUUCCACGUGUAGCAGUGAAAUGCGUAGAGAUGUGGAGGAACACCGAUGGCGAAGGCAGCCCCCUGGGUCAAGAUUGACGCUCAUGCACGAAAGCGUGGGGAGCAAACAGGAUUAGAUAUCCUGGUAGUCCACGCCCUAAACGAUGUCUACUAGUUGUCGGGUCUUAAUUGACUUGGUAACGCAGCUAACGCGUGAAGUAGACCGCCUGGGGAGUACGGUCGCAGGAUUAAAACUCAAAGGAAUUGACGGGGACCCGCACAAGCGGUGGAUGAUGUGGAUUAAUUCGAUGCAACGCGAAAAACCUUACCUACCCUUGACAUGGCAGGAACCUUGGAGAGAUCUGAGGGUGCCCGAAAGGGAACCUGCACACAGGUGCUGCAUGGCUGUCGUCAGCUCGUGUCGUGAGAUGUUGGGUUAAGUCCCGCAACGAGCGCAACCCUUGUCAUUAGUUGCUACGCAAGAGCACUCUAAUGAGACUGCCGGUGACAAACCGGAGGAAGGUGGGGAUGACGUCAAGUCCUCAUGGCCCUUAUGGGUAGGGCUUCACACGUCAUACAAUGGUACAUACAGAGGGCCGCCAACCCGCGAGGGGGAGCUAAUCCCAGAAAGUGUAUCGUAGUCCGGAUUGUAGUCUGCAACUCGACUACAUGAAGUUGGUAUCGCUAGUAAUCGCGGAUCAGCAUGUCGCGGUGAAUACGUUCCCGGGUCUUGUACACACCGCCCGUCACACCAUGGGAGCGGGUUUCACCAGAAGUAGGUAGCUUAACCGCAAGGAGGGCGCUUACCACGGUGGGAUUCGUGACUGGGGUGAAGUCGUAACAAGGUAACCAAUCUAGA